ensembl:lncRNA
GCACACUGACCAGCAAUGUAGCUCCUCUGGCACAGAAUCACUGCAGUGAGCUGAUGAAGAUCUUUUCAGUCCCUGGGCUUCCCAGUGCUGUCAUGACAACAGCUACUUUCUUGGGCCUGCUGAAACCCCUUUUCACAUUCAGUGAAUGCCAUGCACAGAAAAGUAGGUUGUUUUCAUCAAUCUCCCUCUCAUUCUGAGAUCUGUUUGAUUGAGAAUAGGGAGGGAUGCUGUAAUACUAUGGACUUGGCUUAUUUUCCAAGAACACGGCCCACAUGGAGCUUACAGGAAAGGUUUGAAGAGUUAUGACUUGGAAACAUAAUUCUGAUAGCUGAGUAUAUAAAUAUAAUAUCUGUAAUAAAGACUUUCCCUUAGUGGCAAAUGACAAUUCAGUUAUAUUGGAAUUACAUCAGUUUCCAUUACUUCGAGCGUGACUUCUGCUGUUCGGUGAACGCUGUAGCAACACAAAGAUAUGACAAUGCCUGUGUCUUUUAACAUGGAAAUCAUACCUCAGCUUUACAGAAUCACAGAAGAGCUGAGGUGGGAAGGCAUCUCUGGAGAUCAUCUAGUCCAAAGCCCCUGCUCAAAACAGGCAGCUACAGCAGGUUCUUCAGGACCAUAUCCAGAUGUGUUGUGAGCUGUUCUCAGGAACGGAGACUCCCAAACCUCUCUGGGCCAUCUCUUCCAUGCUUAACAACUCUCAUGGUGAAAAAAGUUAUUAUGUUUAAAUAGAAUUUUCUGUAUUUUACUUCCUGCUCAUUUCCUCUUGCCCCUUACCGCUGAGAAGAGUCUGGCUCUAACUUUUACCUUUUCCACCAGGUAUUUAUAUGACCCGCCCUCCUCCCCCCCCCACCCCACCUCAGCCUUCACACCAUGGGCUGAGCAGUCCCAGCUCCCUCAGCCUCUCACCAUCUGGGCAGAGGCCCCAGUCCCUUCAGGGCCCCUGGCUGGGCCCACUGCAGCCCACAGCUGUGGGUGGAAGGACACAUGUUCACAUGAGCUUGAUCUUCAAAAGAAUCAAGAUUCUUUUGAGAGAAAAGAAAAGAAAAGAAAAGAAAAGCACAAGCCCCAUAACUACAUUUCUAAAGGGAAAUUUUUAUCUUUUUUUUUUAAUGUUAAAAAAAAAAAAGUUAAUUGUUCUAUUAAAAAUGUGUAUUCUAGAUAAGGCCAUACACUGGAGAAAGGGAUUUUCAAAGCAAUCCUAGAAGAGCAUGGAAAAGCUGCUGAAUGUUUGUACUCCUUCCAAACUGUGAUUUGUAUUUAAUUAGCAUUCAAUUCAUUAUUCAUUUCUGCUUGGUUGUAAUGGUUACACACCGGUUUUGUAACAUGCAAGAUCUUGAUUACUUUUCUUGUUUUGAAAAGAAUCUCCAUGUGUGCAAGGAGAGACUCUGCUCUUGACACAUAUCUACCCUUUUUAGGAAAAAAAAAGCCUGCUGUUAUUUACUGACCAGUGUGCUUGGGCAGAAUUCCCCUCUGCUGGAAUCGCCCCCUCUGCCUUUAUUGUAAUGGUGUGCAGUAACUGACCUGCAGAAAGUAAAUGGACACAGUGGUGGCAGCCCUGUAUUUGUGGUUGGGUGCGCACCUUCAUUUAAAGCUGGAAUCCAGCUCUGUUUUGCAUAAGAAUGUAGAAAACAUGCAUUCCCCAAAUUAACAGCAUGUAAAGAGUCUUUAAUCUGGAAGCAAAUAUGUUAAUUAUCUCUGGGUAAAACUAAAUGGCACCCUUUAAGGAUGUUGAUUCCUCUGAAACACAAGAAUUUUUGCUGCUUUUUUUUGAAAAAGAACAAACUGUGCCAGUAAAAAAUGCACACAAGGAGGUAUGAGGACAAGAGGAAGUCUCUGGUAAUUUAUAUAAAUACACUGUUUGAAUUAAAAUGUAAACAUAUUGAUGAUAGUUACAACAAAAUGAUUCUCUAUGUUAUUCUAGAGUGUUGUGUAUAUUGUUUUUUGAUGCUCCCAUGAUAUAUUUUAUCAGCCAUGUGCAUUUUCCAAUGUGCAAACCUUUCUGAAUAAUUUCAAAGGAAAACAUACUUUAAUAUAUACUUUCACAGGUCCGUGGAACUCAUGAUGACUCAGACAGGGUGACAGGAGUCACAUUCAGAGAGAUGUACCAGGGCAGAAGCACUGCGAGUUACUUCUGCUUCUACAGCAAAUUCUGAGCUGGUUCUCAGCUGUGUCUGUAAUAACUGCUAGCGUACCUUACCUACACAGUAUCUAUUUGAAAUUCUGUGCUUCAGUUUCAGUUUUUGCAACAAGCAGUAACCUACACAAAUGAACCAUAUUAUGAGGCCUUCCAAUUCCUCGCGCUCAAAAGCACAUCUUCAUGCUUUUUUUCUUUUGUGUUUCUUUUGGUAUCACAUGGCAGCAAAUUUGACAUCAAUUAGAAUGUAUUUUAAAGAAGAGGUCUGAUGAGUUUGUAAAAUAUCUGGGUCCUUUCACUUGUGUCAGAGUAUCUAUUUGCAGCAUGGGCUUCCUCCUACUGUUUGUGUGCAUACACGGCUCAGCACACGGGUGCUCUGAUCUUGCAAGUUGUUACAAUAGCUCAAAUGCAAAUAUAGUGAACAUUAGGAUGUGCUUUUGGUUAUGUUCCAGAACUACAGAAUGGGGUUUUCCAUUCCUGAACUUACUGCUGGCACUUUAUUACAUACAUUUUUCCCCAUCCCUGUAGUGUGCAUGGUUACAUUUAACAGAGCUGUCUGAAGCGUUUUGAAUUUUCCUGACUCAACAUCAACAGAAUGGCAUUAUAUUAUAUAUAUAUUAUAUAUAUAUAUAUUUUUUUUCCCCUAGUUACCACUAAAAUCAGUUCCUUGUUGUAGCUCAUGGCAUGAGUUUCCCGGCCAGCUGUGCUGCACAACAGAAGGGGCAGUGUGUCCCUACGAGGGCUGUAACAAGACCUGGGUAAGGGAGAAGGGGCAGACACACCGAAGCAAUACCUAGAAGCCACACUGCCAAAGGCUUUUCAACACCAGAGACAGCUCACAGGCCAGUGGGGACAGAAGAGGGACUUCAGCUGACACACAUUUCUGGCAGCCUUCCUUUGACUGAACCAACCUAAACAGUGCUUGAAUUUUCCUAUGGUCAUGGGCCUGCUUUCAAGCAAACUACACAGGGGAUGAUUAAAGCUUUAAGAAGAAAACACCGUGGAAGGGAGUUUAAAGGGAGAAUUAACUGGGCGCUGUAGGAGAGGGUGGGGUUGGGAUUGCAGAAUAAGGCGGUUUCAGUCUGGUCUGAAGGGAAGGGUGAGAAAUGAGUGCUGGAUGCUUACUUGAAGCAAUGGGCGAUUGCAGCCUCUUCCUCAAGACCUUGAAUUUGGAUGAGGAAGGGUGGGGCAGAGAGAAGGGGAGGGUGCAGUCUCCAGAGACUGCUGAGCAGGCAGAAUGUUGUGAGCAAGGUGAGUCAUGAGGUGCAGGCAGCAGGAAUUUCCUGCAGUGUUUAAGACACGCAUGUGGAGGCAGGAGCAGGAGAGUGCAGUGACCAAGUGUCUUGUUUCACAGAACUUCCCAUGCCAUCCUAACAAGUGCAGGAUGUCAUUUUUUCCUGUAUCUUAGGCCAAUGGUACAUACUUUUCUCUCUUUAUUGGCCUUUCUCACUGGUUUGUUUUGCUUGCAUACUAUGCCUCAUAGUAUUAUGACGCUGACCAACACUGG